rnacentral:rRNA from 1 species
GACGAACGCUGGCGGCGUGCUUAACACAUGCAAGUCGAACGGAAAGGCCCUGCUUUUGUGGGGUGCUCGAGUGGCGAACGGGUGAGUAACACGUGAGUAACCUGCCCUUGACUUUGGGAUAACUUCAGGAAACUGGGGCUAAUACCGGAUAGGAGCUCCUGCUGCAUGGUGGGGGUUGGAAAGGUUCGGCGGUUGGGGAUGGACUCGCGGCUUAUCAGCUUGUUGGUGGGGUAGUGGCUUACCAAGGCUUUGACGGGUAGCCGGCCUGAGAGGGUGACCGGCCACAUUGGGACUGAGAUACGGCCCAGACUCCUACGGGGGGCAGCAGUGGGGAAUAUUGCACAGUGGGCGGAAGCCUGAUGCAGCAACGCCGCGUGCGGGAUGACGGCCUUCGGGUUGUAAACCGCUUUCGCCUGUGACGAAGCGUGAGUGACGGUAAUGGGUAAAGAAGCACCGGCUAACUACGUG